rnacentral:tRNA from 1 species
GUGGGUAUAGUUCAGUAGUAAAGAGCUUGCUUAGCAUGCAUGAGGUCCUGGGUUCAAUCCCCAGUACCCCCA